GUCAAGGUAGGUAUCAAUCUCUUCGUCUCGUCAAGUACUACAACUUUCCUUUUUGUUUCACUCAAUUUCGUUGAGUAUUGAAGAAGUUAUACUCAUUUGAAAAAUACCCAGUUUCCGACGACCUCCGAGGCUUUCGAGGCAGUUUCCGGCCAAACCACGGCGAACUAGGUGUUGUACAAGGUACCAUUAUCUUUGUCUCUUCAAGGGCUACAACUUUCAUUUUUGAAUCACUUGAUUUCGUUGAGAAAUGACAAAGUUAUGGCAAUUUGAAAAACGGCCGCCGGAAAAACCAGUCCGGCGACCCAAGGAAGAAGAAGGUGCGCGUGGGGGCGCGUGCUACAGUAACAAAAUAUUUUAAAAAUAUGUCGACGUCCGUGACGGAGUAGAUCUCUGUGGUAUAUUCAUAUACCCAAUUUGAGCACCGUAUGAGAAAGUUAUUAAGGAUUGUUGGUUAGGUGUUCGAAUAACGUUUUAUAGUUUUGGUGAAAAUGUGAAUUGAUGAUCCGACCGUUGGAUCGUCACCAAAAUUUGAUACGUUGUAAUACGUAAUAUUUGAGGAUUAUAGGAACUUACAGAUUGGGAAUCCGAUUUGCGGAUCUUCCGAAAUUGGAGUUGUAAGUCCAUAAUAUAGAAUGUUAACUGUCACUUAGUUUUGGAAAUUGACGGAGAUCCAACCGUUGGAUGGUAAUGAAAUUUUAGGAUGUUAUCCUAGAGAUAUAUUGUGGACCUCUGGAAGUUAUGGAUUUAAAAUCUGAGUGGCAGAUCUUCCGGAUCGAACUACGUAGUGACGUAUUUUAUAUAAGUUAUAUAUUCUAUCGAUAUGAAUUCUGAGGUUGGAUUUGAUUACUAUUCUAGGCGGCGAUCGUCGUGACGCCUUGAUGUGUGGUGCUAGGGAGUUGUUGGACGAACUCCAGGUGAGUGGGCAGUUUUGUUUUCCGUAUACAUAUAUACUUGCCGUUUUCCCAGAAAUUGAAAAUGCAUGAAAUUAUGCUUUUAAUGAAAAUGUAUAAAAGUAUAUGAGAUAUAUUAGUUGAAAUGCCAUGCAUGAAAGUAUAUGAAAAGUAGAUAGAAAUGUGAAUCGAAUUGCCAUGCAUGAAAUGAUAUGGAAAGUAUGAAUUGAUAUAUGAUGCAUAUGUAUGAAUUGGUGCGGCGGACGCACAGGUGAGUAUCAGGUGAGUAUUUAAAUAUUGUUAUGAUGAUGUUGAUAUAUAUUGAGCUAAAUCCUGCACCAUGGUUUAGUGCUUAUAGUAUUCACCGCAUCGCACGCUCGCCUUGGAUCCAAGUAGAUGCUGGUCGCACAGUCCACGCGGAGUGGGUGCGACGGGCCAGUCGAAGAGUGUUAGUGAGAUUUCGACUGGUGGGUGACCUUAGAUUAUGUGCACAGAUGAUUGAUGAGAAAGCACUAGAGCGUAACUUGUGUGCAGAAGGCCGGACGGGUCACAGAGGUGACUCCGGUAGAGUGAUAGUGAUAGAUUUUGAGCUCUAGGUUCAACCGUACAGGGCUAUUAGAGGGCCUCCGGUUGAUUACUUUCUUGCACCUGAUAUGAUUAUUGUUGAUGCAUCCAUACUUAACUGUUGAAUUAGACAUGGCAUGGCAUGAUUGAUAAAGAAAAAAUGUUGAGUUAAUGAAUCGAAGUAUUGAGAAUAUAUAUGUAUAUUUAUAUUUUACAUUUCUGGGAAAGUAUACAGGUUUUACGGAGAGAGGUUACAACGUUUUGAGAAAUGUUUGGAUUUGGAAAGAAUUGUUUUACUGACCCACUCAAUUUUGGUUUUGCGCCCCUCCAGGUUAAAGAAUAGCUGAGGUGUGGUGGCUACGAGGAAUUCAACGGGGUUCUGACAGAAUGGAUCAAAUUAGGACUCACCUUCGGGUGUAUCAACUUAUAAAUUGUAUAAUUAAAGCUUCCGUACUGUGCAAAUGGUUACGUCACUCUCACGUGACGGCCAGCAUGCCCUCCUUCGGGACGGGGUGUGUCAGUUGGUAUCAGAGCAUGGUUGCAAUCUUGGACAUCUUGAGAAGUUCUAGUGAAUUCUGUCAGAACUACACCGCCUCGUAGCAAGCCACUUAGUUAGAGGAAUUUAGUCUCCCUAAUAUAGCGGUUUAGGGAAAACUAUUAUUAUGGUGAUUCAGUCUAUUAUAAAAAGGGACAUUUUAAGACGGGUUAUGAGUUGAAUUUGAAUCACCUUAUGAAAUGAUGAACCUGAGGGAGCGAAGUAACGGUUUAACCAUUUGGAAAAGAUGUUUCAGAUUAUGCAAGUCAAAGGAAUCUUCCUUCUGACAGGGGGUCGAGACGAUUACCUGGUUUUGGGUAUGAAUUUGUAUCCUGGUGGAAACAGGAGUAUGAUUUGUUGUCACCGGAGGAACAGCCGAUUUAAAAUUGUUUAAGGACUUGUUUAAGGAAAAGUUUAUCCCUCCGGCAUUUAUCGAUGAUAGUAAGCAAGAGUUUGCAAAUGUGAAUCAAGGAAGUUGACGAUAAAUGGAUAUUAUAGAAAGUUUUCAGACUUGCCUCGUUCCAUCCAGAUAUUGUUGUUAAUUUGGUAGAGGUGUUAUGUUGUUUUAAGCUGGGUGGCAAAAGGGAAGUGGUAUUUUGGGUGACCAUUAUCCAUUGUAGUUCUUAUCAGGAGUAUGCGAGAUGCUGUUGAGCCUUGAGGACUCUAAGAACAUGAGCAACGAGAAUAAAGAAGAAUAAGAAAUGAAUGGGAAUCAAAAGAAGACGAUAAAGUUUAUGAUUCGUCAUAUCAAGGAUAUAGAAAGAUUCAGAGCUUCGAAAGAAGUGAAGCUAGAGUUAAUUCUUCCAGCUGAGGUUUUAAUGUCGCUGGUCAGAAUAAAAGUGAUGGAUAUACUGGUAAUCCCAGAUAUUUGAGACAAGGUGUCUCGAGUAAAGGAAAUGUACCUUGUGCAGCAGGUACAAAAAAUUAACACUUUGGGAAGUGUGAAAUUAAUGAAUGUGUUUAUGUGAACAGAGGGGACACAGAAUUGUGAAUCGUCCCUAGAAUCAGUUGUACUCAACAAUUUUCCAUGAUAUCAUAGUGUCGAUUCAGCAGAGUUAUGGACUUAGUAGUUUGGUCGGAUUGACCGUGAGUACAGAGAGAUUUGAUGAGUUAUAUGUUCAGCCGUACAGACCAUGAGAAGUGGAUUCGAUUGACACAUGAGAAAUUUGUGAGUUAUAGGCUCAGCCGUACCGACCACGCGGAGUGGAUCCGGCCGACGUAUUAUUGAGAUAAGAGUUGAAUCAACCGUAUUGGUCAUUCUAGUUGACUUCGGCUGAUAUAUUUCUUAUUAUGUAUGAUAUUACCUAGAGAGUGGUAAAUAAAUGUAGUUGAGACGAGUGUAUGUAUUUUGCAUUGAGUGACAAAAUAGUAAUGUUAUAUCUUUUUUAGUGGUUGCCUACUUAUCGAGACAACGAUGAUUUAUCAGUAUUGCGGGCUGCAGACCGUAAUAUUAAUAACUCAUUCGUGGAUUCGUUAAGCAAGCAAACCGGUAGGUUAUUUUAUGUUAGUGUUGUACUUAUUUAGAAUGUUCAGUAUUAAUAAAGUAUGUAUUGUGUCGGUUAAAUUAUUUCCAUUAGAUUGGUUGGUUAUAAUUGUGACUAAAUGGACUGUUAUGGGAAACCAGUCACUUUCCAUCGAUCUGGAUGACCAGAGAUUACUUUUGUAAGUAUGCAAAGUGGAUUGAGUCAGGCCGUUAUUUAUGCUGUGAGAGCAAAGAGAUUGUUUUCGAAAGGCUGUCAAAAAAAUACUUAGCUCAUGUGGUGCUAAAUGAUGUUGUUUGGAGUAGUGUGAAUAAUGUCGAAAGAGUUAGACUUUUCUUGAUGUCUUCCCUGAAAGUAUACCUGGAUUGUCUUCAAGCAGAGAUAUGAGGUUCAUUAUUGAUUUGUUGCCAGGUAUAAAUUUAUAUUGGAGAUCAGUUCAUGAUGAGUUAAGAAAAUUGGAAAUUUAGUUGAAAGAAUUGGUUGACAAAAGUUUCAUUCAACCUAGUACAACACUUUUGAGGAGCCCCAGUUUGUUGGUGAGGAAGAAAAUGGAUCUUGAGACUGUUCAUUGAUUAUAGACAAUGGAGUCGGGUAACGAUUGAGAACCGUUAUCCAUGGUGAUGUAUUGAUGUUUAUUUAACCAGCUCAGAAGUAAUGGCGAAGAUUCAAAGAUUGAAUUGAGAUCUGGUUACUACCAAUUGAAUAUUAUAAGUGACGUUGAUCAUAAGAUGGUUUUCUGGACUCGUUAUAGUCUUUAUGAAGUUUGGUGAUGCUAUAUGGAUACUCAUGCUGUUUUAUGAGUUGAUGGAUGAAGUAUUCCAAUAAUGCCUUGAUAAAUUGAUAUCAUUUUCAUUGAAGAUAUUCUGGCAUAUUCUGAGCCAGAGCAGAGCAUGUAAACGUAUUAAGUCGGUGAAACAAAGAUUGGAAGAAUGUCGAUUGUAUGCUAAGUUUAGCAAAUGCUAAAGUUAGAUGAAUCAGGUGGCAUUCUGAGAUUUGUUAUAUAUUCUUAAGGUAUUCAAGUGAAUCCUUAAAAGAUAGCAGAAAUUGAGGAAUUGGAACAACCACGAACUGUAAUUGAGAUUCAGAAUUUCUUAGCUUACCAGGCUAUCUUGGAUGGUUGUGAAAGAUUUUUCAGUCAUUGCUUUGUCAUUGACGAGACUGUUGAGAAAAGAGGUUAUGUAUGAGUGGGAAGGAAAUUGUGAGCAAAUGAUUCAACAACUGAAGUAUUUCCUCACUCAUGCACGUAUUUUAGUAAUCCCAGAGAAUAGUGGUAAUCAUAAAUUUUUAGUGCUGUUUCUUGAAUGGUAUUGGAUGCAUGUUGAUGCAAAUGUUAGGGUGAUUGCAUACGUUUCACGACAAAUGGAAUCUCAUGAGAUGAAUUACCCUACUGGUGAUUUGGAAGUCACGAUUACCAUCCUUGCUGUGAAGUUAUGGAGACAUUAUAUUUUAGUGAGAAUGCAAGAUUUUUUUUACGAAUCCAAAAAGUCUUCAAUAUCCAUUACUUGGAAGGAUUUUGAUAUGAGGCAGCGAAAGUGAAUUGUAUUGCUUAAUGAACAUGAUUGAACGAUCAGAGUGAUCAUAAAGUUUGUUCUAGCUGAAGCAUUUGGUGAGAAGACUACAGUAAGAUUAAUGUCUGGCACGUUUGCCAAGAGUAUCAUCUUGUGGAUUGAAACCAACGGAAGAAAAAUUAAGAAUGGAAGAUCGAGAAGAAGUUAUACUUGUUAAAUUUCAAGUUAGGCCUUUUGGUAAGGUCGUACUCGAGACUCAAAUGGUAUGUGAAUACAAGCAAACGAAAAGUAUGUGCCUAAUGCUGUGGGUUUAAAGCAAACAAUUUUGGACGAAGUACACUGUUCAGCUUCUGCAAUAUUCCGAAGGUAAUAAGGUUUAUCAUACCAUUCGACAUUUUUAUUGGUCAGCAGAUUGAGGCAGAAAGAAAUAAACCUUUGGAUUGAGACAGCUAUUUUCUGUUUCGAAACGGAAAUGGAAAGAGAAUUGGAUUACGGAACUGCUGAGUUUCUUAAGUAUGUUGGGUGUGCAGUUUCCGAAAUAACGCCAUAGGGUCCCUGAAGCGUGUCGUGUGAAUGAAAUGCUUCUGAAUAGAGAAAGAUUCGAUCAAGAAAGAGUUUUAGUAGACCCUGAGACUAUGGAUGAGUCUCCUCAAAGUAUUCAGGUGAUUAAGUUUAACCUGAAGGUAGCCAGGAAUGGCAAAAGAGACUAACAGAUGGAUAUGCCAUUAAUCGAGUGUGUAAGGUAAAUGGUUUGAUAUUUUUGGAAAUUUCACCAUGAACAUAAAUAGUAAGAUUCAGAAAGGGAGACAAGAUAAGUCUUGAACACAUCAGUCCGUUUUGAUCAUUAAAGGAAUCGACGAAGUUGCAUACAAGUUUGUGAUGCCUUCAGAAUUGGCUAAGGCACAUAAUGUAUUUUGUGUUCGAUGCGUUGUCACUAAGUGGCAGAGUCGUUACAUGGGACUUUGGUGCAACUAUUGAGAAUUAAGCCGGAUCUGAUUGGUGAGGAACCAAUGACGACUUUGGAUUGGAAAAAGAAGGUCCUGAGAAUUAAGACAGAGUAAGUAGUAAAAGCUUUGUGAAGGAAUCAUUCAGUAGAAAAUUAUGUGGGAGAAAGAGAAUCGGAUGAGACAGAUUUACCCGUAGCUAUUGUUGGAGUAUGGUUGAUUUAGUUGGUUGCUGGAAUUUCGGGGACGAAAUUCUAUAAGGAGGGAAGAUUGUCACAGCCCGUCCCGGAAUUUUAAUUCUGAGAACGUGAAAAGACGAAAAUGCCCUUAAACGGGAGUAAGGGGCGAAAAUUUAACAAUUGGGAUUGAGUUGGACACGUGGGAUCCCCACAUCCCUCAAAACCUUCCCCAAUUCCCGUACCUUGUCACUCUUUCUCUCCUCCCUCACGAAACUCUCAGUUUUCUCUCCCUCUCCUUCGAACUCACACGGACAAGCUCCAAAACCACCCUAAACUUCUACCAACGACAGAGUUAAGACCACCAUCAAACUCCUGGAACCUCCACGAUCACGAUGGUAUCCAUUUCAGGUAAGUUUUGCUUCGGAAAACCCUAGUUUCAAAGUUCCCGUGAAAUGGUACCGUUCAUGAUCUUCUAAAUGACUACGUUUUAGGCUAAAACAAGAUCACAGCGAGCUUAGUGAGGUCCCAAGGAAGCUCGGAGUGCUUCGUUGGAAGUUUUUGGACGUAAGAACACGGAGAUCGACAAGUUCAAAGUUUGGCCGGAGCUUUCGAGGCUUUUUCCGGCGAAUCCCCGGCGAGUUAGGAGUCGAGGUAGGUAUCAAUUUCUUCGUCUCGUCAAGUACUACAACUUUCCUUUUUGUUUCACUCAAUUUCGUUGAGUAUUGAAGAAGUUAUACUCAUUUGAAAAAUACCCAGUUUCCGGCGACCUCCGAGGCUUUCGAGGCAGUUUCCGGCCAAACCACGGCGAACUAGGUGUUGUGCAAGGUACCAUUUGAAGAAGUUAUACUUUUCAAGGGCUACAACUUUCGUUUUUGAAUCACUUGAUUUCGUUGAGAAAUGACAAAGUUAUGGCAAUUUGAAAAACGGCCGCCGGAAAAACCAGUCCGGCGACCCAAGGAAGAAGAAGGUGCGCGUGGGGGCGCGUAGGUCCGUGCCUUCCUUGGCGCAUGGGGGCGCGUGCUACAGUAAAAAAAUAUUUUAAAAAUAUGUCGACGUCCGUGACGUCGAGUAGACCUCUGUGGUAUAUUCAUAUACCCAAUUUGAGCACCGUAUGAGAAAGUUAUUAAGGAUUGUUGGUUAGGUGUUCGAAUAACGUUUUAUAGUUUUGGUGAAAAUGUGAAUUGAUGAUCCGACCGUUGGAUCGUCACCAAAAUUUGAUACGUUGUAAUACGUAAUAUUUGAGGAUUAUAGGAACUUACAGAUUGGGAAUCCGAUUUGCGGAUCUUCCGAAAUUGGAGUUGUAAGUCCAUAAUAUAGAAUGUUAACUGUCACUUAGUUUUGGAAAUUGACGGAGAUCCAACCGUUGGAUGGUAAUGAAAUUUUAGGAUGUUAUCCUAGAGAUAUAUUGUGGACCUCUGGAAGUUAUGGAUUUAAAAUCUGAGUGGCAGAUCUUCCGGAUCGAACUACGUAGUGACGUAUUUUAUAUAAGUUAUAUAUUCUAUCGAUAUGAAUUCUGAGGUUGGAUUUGAUUACUAUUCUAGGCGGCGAUCGUCGUGACGCCUUGAUGUGUGGUGCUAGGGAGUUGUUGGACGAACUCCAGGUGAGUGGGCAGUUUUGUUUUCCGUAUACAUAUAUACUUGCCGUUUUCCCAGAAAUUGAAAAUGCAUGAAAUUAUGCUUUUAAUGAAAAUGUAUAAAAGUAUAUGAGAUAUAUUAGUUGAAAUGCCAUGCAUGAAAGUAUAUGAAAAGUAGAUAGAAAUGUGAAUCGAAUUGCCAUGCAUGAAAUGAUAUGGAAAGUAUGAAUUGAUAUAUGAUGCAUAUGUAUGAAUUGGUGCGGCGGACGCACAGGUGAGUAUCAGGUGAGUAUUUAAAUAUUGUUAUGAUGAUGUUGAUAUAUAUUGAGCUCAAAUCCUGCACCAUGGUUAGUGCUUAUAGUAUUCACCGCAUCGCACGCUCGCCUUGGAUCCAAGUAGAUGCUGGUCGCACAGUCCACGCGGAGUGGGUGCGACGGGCCAGUCGAAGAGUGUUAGUGAGAUUUCGACUGGUGGGUGACCUUAGAUUAUGUGCACAGAUGAUUGAUGAGAAAGCACUAGAGCGUAACUUGUGUGCAGAAGGCCGGACGGGUCACAGAGGUGACUCCGGUAGAGUGAUAGUGAUAGAUUUUGAGCUCUAGGUUCAACCGUACAGGGCUAUUAGAGGGCCUCCGGUUGAUUACUUUCUUGCACCUGAUAUGAUUAUUGUUGAUGCAUCCAUACUUAACUGUUGAAUUAGACAUGGCAUGGCAUGAUUGAUAAAGAAAAAAUGUUAAGUUAAUGAAUCGAAGUAUUGAGAAUAUAUAUGUAUAUUUAUAUUUUACAUUUCUGGGAAAGUAUACAGGUUUUACGGAGAGGGGUUACAACGUUUUGAGAAAUGUUUGGAUUUGGAAAAGAAUUGUUUUACUGACCCACUCAAUUUUGGUUUUGCGCCCCUCCAGGUUAAAGAAUAGCUGAGGUGUGGUGGCUACGAGGAAUUCAACGGGGUUCUGACAGAAUGGAUCAAAUUAGGACUCACCUUCGGGUGUAUCAAUUUAUAAAUUGUAUAAUUAAAGCUUCCGUACUGUGCAAAUGGUUACGUCACUCUCACGUGACGGCCAGCAUGCCCUCCUUCGGGACGGGGUGUGUCAUUUUAGGUGUUUGGUGAACUAAAAAAAAAAAGCUUAUUUUGGAAGCUGUUGUGAGAAUAAGCUGAAAUCAAAGGAAAAGCUGAAAUUGCUAUUUGCAGCUUUGGAAAACUGGCUUUUUUUUAAAGCACACGGAGCUACAAUGCUCCUUUAAUGAAAAGACUCACUAUCAGACUGUUUUUUUUUCAAAAGCACUUUUACAAAAAAAUUUACCAAACACUCUGUUGAUUUAUUUUACAGCCGUUUAUUCUCACAGCAGUUUUUUUUCAAAGCAUAACAAUACCAAACUAGCCCUUAAUUUUUUAAUUCAAUGGAAUAUUGGGAUUGAAUUAUUUACAAAUAAUUAACAUUAUAUAUUGUUUAGAGAAUGGUUAUUUAGCAAUUAAGCAUGAUUUUAUUUGAUUUUGCAUGAUGCGGGCUUUGAGUUUUAGCAACGUGUUUCACGGGCUUUGAGCUUUAAAGAAAACCUCAGUUAGUUCACUAUCUUGAGGACUCUCCCAGACUCAGACU
rnacentral:lncRNA from 1 species